AUUGAACGCUGGCGGCAGGCCUAACACAUGCAAGUCGAAUGGUAACAGGAAACAGCUUGCUGUUUCGCUGACGAGUGGCGGACGGGUGAGUAAUGUCUGGGAAACUGCCUGAUGGAGGGGGAUAACUACUGGAAACGGUAGCUAAUACCGCAUAACGUCGCAAGACCAAAGAGGGGGACCUUCGGGCCUCUUGCCAUCAGAUGUGCCCAGAUGGGAUUAGCUAGUAGGUGGGGUAACGGCUCACCUAGGCGACGAUCCCUAGCUGGUCUGAGAGGAUGACCAGCCACACUGGAGCUGAGACACGGUCCAGACUCCUACGGGAGGCAGCAGUGGGGAAUAUUGCACAAUGGGCGCAAGCCUGAUGCAGCCAUGCCGCGUGUAUGAAGAAGGCCUUCGGGUUGUAAAGUACUUUCAGCGGGGAGGAAGGGAGUAAAGUUAAUACCUUUGCUCAUUGACGUUACCCGCAGAAGAAACACCGGCGAACUCCGU
rnacentral:rRNA from 1 species